GACGUAGGGGGCCAGCGUUGUUCGGAAUUACUGGGUGUAAAGGGUUCGUAGGCGGUGUGGCAAGUCGGGAGUGAAAUCUCUGGGCUCAACUCAGAGACUGCUUCCGAAACUGCUGCGCUGGAGUGUGGGAGAGGCGCGUGGAAUUGCAGGUGUAGCGGUGAAAUGCGUAGAUAUCUGCAGGAACACCCGUGGCGAAAGCGGCGCGCUGGACCACUACUGACGCUGAGGAACGAAAGCUAGGGGAGCAAACAGG
rnacentral:rRNA from 1 species